UUCCAUUAGGAUAUUGUUCCAUUUAACUUUUUAUUCAAACUUGUCAGUCUUCUAAAACAGCCUUAUAUAUUAUUGAUUGCUUCUAUAUCAUGCUUAUUAUUGAAGUGAAUCUAAAACUUCCCUACAUGUUGUUCUAGGCUUCUUAUGCUUUUUGCUUUAACAUUUCCAUGUCCCAUAGAAUAUAUAUUAUCAUGUCAUGAGCAAUAAGAAAUAGCUUCUCAUUCAUCAUACGUUGCAUGUGGUUUGAGAACCAAAAAUCUUGUGCAAAUUUCUCAUGUCUUAAAGGGUGUUGCAAUGGAAGGUUUGGAAUCAAAGAUGAAUUUGGCACCUUCCCCUUCAAUGACAUUUGAUGCUAAUCAAUCAAACAAAAGGACUGUCAAAAAAGGGUCAGACCCAAUUCACAAUAGAAGUUGAAUUGUUUUGGCGAUUGACAUAUGCUCUUCCAAUGUUGGUUAGUUUAUUAGUUUUGUUGAGUUUGUUUGUCAGGUGAAGAAUUGCAGCUGAAAACUCAUCUUUGUAUCAGCACCAUUUCUGAUUGUGUAGAGAUAUUUUUAGAUAAUGGGGCAGAUAUUUGGUAAUAUUGUUAGCUGUCAAAUAGAUAAUAUAAAGAAAUUUACUUUAUUUA